GACGAACGCUGGCGGCGUGCCUAAUACAUGCAAGUCGAGCGGAGUUAGAGAAGCUUGCUUCUCUAACUUAGCGGCGGACGGGUGAGUAACACGUGGGCAAUCUGCCCGUAAGACUGGGAUAACUCCGGGAAACCGGGGCUAAUACCGGAUAAUCCUGACUCUCUCCUGAGAGUCAGUUGAAAGAUGGUUUCGGCUAUCACUUACGGAUGAGCCCGCGGCGCAUUAGCUAGUUGGUAGGGGUAAUGGCCUACCAAGGCGACGAUGCGUAGCCGACCUGAGAGGGUGAUCGGCCACACUGGGACUGAGACACGGCCCAGACUCCUACGGGAGGCAGCAGUAGGGAAUCUUCCGCAAUGGACGAAAGUCUGACGGAGCAACGCCGCGUGAGUGAAGAAGGUUUUCGGAUCGUAAAACUCUGUUGUUAGGGAAGAACACGUACGAGAGUAACUGCUCGUACCUUGACGGUACCUAACCAGGAAGCCACGGCUAACUACGUG
rnacentral:rRNA from 1 species